GUACACGCUGUGACUAGCAUAUCAAUAAGCGGAGGAAAAGUACCUACGCUUAGGAUGUUGACACACGCGCGUGCUCGACUCUAUACAUGACUCUGUGCAUAUCAAUAAGCGGAGGAAAAGAAACUAACAAGGAUUCCCCUAGUAACGGCGAGUGAAGCGGGAAGAGCUCAAAUUUGAAAUCUUAAAGGGUUUCCCUUUACGAAUUGUAGUUUAAAGAAGUGUUUUCUGUUGAGGUUUUGGUAAAAGUUCUUUGGAAUAGGACAUCAUAGAGGGUGAGAAUCCCGUAUUUGACCUUUACUUUCAACUUUGUGAUACACUUUCAAAGAGUCGGAUUGUUUGGGAAUGCAGUCCAAAAUGGGUGGUAAAUUUCAUCUAAAGCUAAAUAUUGGCGAGAGACCGAUAGCGAACAAGUACCGUGAGGGAAAGAUGAAAAGAACUUUGAAAAGAGAGUUAAACAGUACGUGAAAUUGUCAAAAGGGAAGCGUUUGACACCAGUGUUGUUUUUCUGAAAAUCAAUUAAAGAACUGUUUAUGCUAAGUUGUUUAGACUUUAUCAGCUAACUGUUUAGUUUUGAGCUUUUCUUUAAUGCACUUUUCAGUUAACAAGUCAACAUCAAUUUCUUUUGCUGUAAAAAAGCUUGAGGAAGGUGGCUUGAGAUUCGUCCUUAAGUGUUUAUAGCCUCUUGCCUAUGCAGUCGGAGAGAUUGAGGUCUGCAGCGUAGAUCCUUCGGGGCUAAAUGCAUUUGUGCUAAGUUAUAGCAUUUUAUAGACAACUUGUUGACUAUGAUUUGUCCCUGUAGCUUACUCGCUUAUGUUAUUUUACCUACGCUUAGGAUGUUGAAGAUGUAGCACAUCAU
rnacentral:rRNA from 1 species